rnacentral:rRNA from 1 species
ACACAUGCAAGUCGAGGGGCAGCAUGAACUUAGCUUGCUAAGUUUGAUGGCGACCGGCGCACGGGUGAGUAACACGUAUCCAACCUGCCGAUGACUCGGGGAUAGCCUUUCGAAAGAAAGAUUAAUACCCGAUGGCAUAGUUCUUCCGCAUGGUAGAACUAUUAAAGGAUUUCGGUCAUCGAUGGGGAUGCGUUCCAUUAGGUUGUUGGCGGGGUAACGGCCCACCAAGCCUUCGAUGGAUAGGGGUUCUGAGAGGAAGGUCCCCCACAUUGGAACUGAGACACGGUCCAAACUCCUACGGGAGGCAGCAGUGAGGAAUAUUGGUCAAUGGACGAGAGUCUGAACCAGCCAAGUAGCGUGAAGGAUGACUGCCCUAUGGGUUGUAAACUUCUUUUAUACGGGAAUAAAGUGAGGCACGUGUGCCUUUUUGUAUGUACCGUAUGAAUAAGGAUCGGCUAACUCCGUGCCAGCAGCCGCGGUAAUACGGAGGAUCCGAGCGUUAUCCGGAUUUAUUGGGUUUAAAGGGAGCGUAGGCGGACGCUUAAGUCAGUUGUGAAAGUUUGCGGCUCAACCGUAAAAUUGCAGUUGAUACUGGGUGUCUUGAGUACAGUAGAGGCAGGCGGAAUUCGUGGUGUAGCGGUGAAAUGCUUAGAUAUCACGAAGAACUCCGAUUGCGAAGGCAGCUUGCUGGACUGUAACUGACGCUGAUGCUCGAAAGUGUGGGUAUCAAACAGGAUUAGAUACCCUGGUAGUCCACACAGUAAACGAUGAAUACUCGCUGUUUGCGAUAUACAGUAAGCGGCCAAGCGAAAGCGUUAAGUAUUCCACCUGGGGAGUACGCCGGCAACGGUGAAACUCAAAGGAAUUGACGGGGGCCCGCACAAGCGGAGGAACAUGUGGUU